rnacentral:rRNA from 1 species
GAUGAACGCUGGCGGCAUGCCUGACACAUGCAAGUCGAUCGGUAAGGCUCUUCGGAGUACACGAGAGGCGGACGGCUGAGUAACGCGUAGGAACACACCCUGCAGUGAGGGAUAAGACACCGAAAGGUGUUCUAAUACCGCAUACGGUCUUCGGAUUAAAGCAUUUAUGCGCUGAAGGAGUGGCCUGCGUCAUAUUAGAUAGUUGGUGAGGUAAUGGCUCACCAAGUCGAUGAUGUGUAGCUGGUCUGAGAGGAUGAUCAGCCAGACUGGAACUGAGACACGGUCCAGACUCCUACGGGAGGCAGCAGUGAGGAAUAUUUCACAAUGAGCGAAAGCUUGAUGGAGCAAUGCCGCGUGCAGGAUGAAGGCCCUCGGGUUGUAAACUGCUUUUAUAAGAGAAGAUUAUGACGGUAACUUAUGAAUAAGGGACGGCUAACUACGUG